GUACUUGUUAAAGACAGAGCAGAUCGAAUGAGGGACAGGCCUGUAAGGAAGGAUAGAAAAUAAGGUAAAAAAAUAAGGUUUGGUGCAAAUCAAAGGAUCUCUGGCAUCCCCUCUUUCGUCUUACGCGCAGCUGACAAUGAAGGGGUUGACGUCGUGUUCCUAACGUACAGUGCAGCCAAGAAGUAACUAUAGUACACCUUCCAAGCAGACUCGCUGAGCUCAGGAAACAAAAGAAAGAAGUGAGCCCAGUUUCUGUUUUCGCUUCCUUUCCCGCCCUUUACUAACGCAGCUUGCACUCGUUCGUUGGACCGCGUGGAGCGUUGCUUACAAAUAAGACGAGUGGAUUUUCUCUACUCUCCUGCAGCCUCUCAAGACAGACUCUGCAGUGACCCUCGAGCGUGAGCGUCUCCUAAUUACUAUGCUACUCAAAGCCGACGAGUCUGCCUGCCACCUGCCGCCAGCCACCCGCCUUUUAGCGCCAUCUGUGCCCUCUUUUUAAAUCCUGCUUGAAGUGAACACUGAAGAUUCCUUGGCACACGAGAGGAAUUUCCUGUCCUUUGCAUUUUCUCCGUCGCCACACGCUGCCUGCUUCUCACGGCCACCAAGCAAAGGCCUUGGUGUCCUUGUAGCAGCCUGGCCUGUACACCCUGACGGUGGCCGUGUAUGCUCCCACAGAGGGCACACGAACCGUCACCUGCUCCUCCCGCUGGUACCGACACACGUGGAGCCUGAUGAGUAAAUAAUUGGACACCAGCAGAGACCAGCACUAGCAGCAGCACCUCACCUCCCUCUUUCCCUCCUGCGUCUCCUCCCUGCUGUCGCUUUCUUUCUUUUCUUUCUUUCUUCCCCUUUUUCCUCCCUGCGAAACAUGCAGGUUGUGACCCACGCGCUGCUGGCAGAAUGUAGACAAAGUGUCAAAAGUAAAAACGUAGAUUCUGGUGCACAAUCUUGCAUCUUGCUACUUCAUGAUACGAAUUACUAAUCGUAUGAACAGCUAAGGUAAUUAAUGAUGUAGUAAUGCCUUGUUUAGUUUAUCAAUUUUUCACGUAUAUAUGAUUUUGCACAAGCAGAGAGACAUUAAUAUUAGAGGAUAGAAACAACUAGACAUGCAAACAAAGCGAAAAACAGGGAAAGACGGACAGACACAAUGAGCUUGAUAGAAAAUAAAUAAGAAGACAGGAAGCCAGUCAGACACACACGCACACAUACAGAUACAAACAGGAAAACAGAGAGAACAGAUAGACAUCCGGUCAGCCACACAAUCACACAGGAAGACAAGAAGGCAGUCAGACACAGACACAUACAAACAGAAGAGAGAGAGAGAACAGACAGACAGACAGAAAUAUAAUCAGUUACAUAAGCACACAAGAAGACAGGGAGGCAGCCAGACAAAGAGACAAAACUGUCUUGACCUUUCUGCCAGGCACAAGGAGGUGUCGGUAAUCACAGGAGCUGCCUUCGAAUGCAAAUAACACGUCAGGUGGCCAGGUAACACUUAGUCUUGCAUGUGGCACGGUCGUGAUGUCGCCCCGUCUCUCUCUCUCUCUCUCUCUCUCUCUCUCUCUCUCUCUCUCUCUCUCUCUCUCUCUCUCUCUCUCUCUCUCUCUCUCUCUCUCUCUCUCUCUCUCUCUCUCUCAACAGACUGUCAAAACUGUGAUCACGGCUUGUAAAUUUGUAGUAUAUGGUUACCCUGAUAAUGUGUAAGUUUAAGCCACGUAAUCAAAUAUCGAAUAAAAAAAGAAAACUCACUAUCCAGGAUAUCUCAACGCAAAUCCCACGCAUGUUCAAUAUCAAGUUAAGUACAUAUCCUAUAUUUAUUUCUAAUCCUCCUUCUCGCGUGAGGACGUUAAUUCACCGGACAAGACUUGAGGCCUUGUUCAAGAGCUCCGGCUGAAUUGAGAAUGGGCCGCGCUGCCUCCGCCUGCAACUCUGGUAUCUAUUCCGUUUUCUGUUCCCCUUACUGGGUGGUGUUGGUCCUGCCGCCGCUUCCCACACGCUUCCUGGAAAACGGUCAGCUUUAUCUCGACACAAGGAAGGGUUUUGCCUCACUAUUUGAAGGGAAGAUUGUUGGUUUAUUUCACCCUGUGUUUUAUUUUCCUCAGAUUGUGUCUUGACUUCAUUUCCUUUGUUCUGUGUUGUUAUGUUGUGUUUCGUUGUGUUGCAAUGUAAGAGUUUGAGGGUUUGUUGUCGUGUGGCAACGUGUGAUGUCUUGCUUGUCCUGGUGCGAGUACUGUGUUGUAGUGUGUGUGUCUGUUGAAUAUGACACACACACACACACACACACACACACACACACACACACACAGCGAUUCGAGUUAACAUUACACCUUUUAUUGUUAUUAGCUUUAUUAAAAAAAAAAAAAACUACCACUGCAGACAGUUUGUAGAUUUGUCACUUAGCAUGUUGUCAUUCAUCUACUGCCCUCAUACGUAUAGUGUCUUUUAAUCACCUCUUAAGUCGUUUAUAUAUUUUCUUUAUUAUCGCUGGGGCAUUUUCACUGUAUACUAUGUAGCUGCGUUUCGUGUUUAUUUAUAUAUAUUUUUUAUUUUACUUUUUAUUCUAUUAUAUAUUUAUGUUUUGUGUACAGGUGUGAUUUACGGUCAUCCUCACAUUUUUCCUACUACGACUGAAAGGAUUUAAUCUUUUUAUACUCUGCUGACUCUGUGAUCCCAUUUCUGUAUAUUAAGACCUCAUAUGUAUGUAUAUAGUUCUAAACUUAACGUGUUUGUAAAUCUAUGUCUGUAAUGAAUGAAAUGGCAAUGGGAAGGAAAGCGCUUGUCUGUAUGCAUGUAAAUAUAUACACGUACAUACACGGUGGUCGAGUGGUCUGUGUACUUAGAGGUGACGUCAGCUGGGUGUGCGGGGUGGUGUUGACACAGACUGCCCUCCUCUUCCCCUCUUAUAUUCCUCCUUCCCUUACGCUGUCUUCCCUGCAGCCAUCCGUUCGCACACGCAGCCGCUCCCUCUCUUUGUCCCCUGCAGCCCUCAGAAAACCUAAAUAAGCCCCUCUACUCGCCAAACACACACACACACACACACACACACACACACACACACACACACACACACACACACACACACACACACACACACACACACA